rnacentral:rRNA from 1 species
AUUGAACGCUGGCGGCAGGCCUAACACAUGCAAGUCGAACGAGUGGCGGACGGGUGAGUAAUGUCUGGGAAACUGCCCGAUGGAGGGGGAUAACUACUGUAAACGGUAGCUAAUACCGCAUACCAUCGGCUUUGCCCAGAUGGGCUUGGCUAGUAGGUGGGGUAACGGCUCACCUAGUCGACGAUCCCUAGCUGGUCUGAGAGGAUGACCAGCAACACUGGAACGGAGACACGGUCCAGACUCCUACGGGAGGCAGCAGUGGGGAAUAUUGGACAAUGGGCGCAAGCCUGAUGCAGCCAUGCCGCGUGUAUGAAGAAGGCCUUCGGGUGGUAAAGUACUUUCAGCGAGGAGGCGUUACUCGCAGAAGAAGCACCGGCUAACUCCGUGCCAGCAGCCGCGGUAAUAC